GAUGAACGCUGGCGGCGUGCCUAAUACAUGCAAGUCGAGCGAAUGGAUUAAGAGCUUGCUCUUAUGAAGUUAGCGGCGGACGGGUGAGUAACACGUGGGUAACCUGCCCAUAAGACUGGGAUAACUCCGGGAAACCGGGGCUAAUACCGGAUAACAUUCUGAGCCGCAUGGUUCGAAAUUGAAAGGCGGCUUCGGCUGUCACUUAUGGAUGGACCCGCGUCGCAUUAGCUAGUUGGUGAGGUAACGGCUCACCAAGGCAACGAUGCGUAGCCGACCUGAGAGGGUGAUCGGCCACACUGGGACUGAGACACGGCCCAGACUCCUACGGGAGGCAGCAGUAGGGAAUCUUCCGCAAUGGACGAAAGUCUGACGGAGCAACGCCGCGUGAGUGAUGAAGGCUUUCGGGUCGUAAAACUCUGUUGUUAGGGAAGAACAAGUGCUAGUUGAAUAAGCUGGCACCUUGACGGUACCUGACCAGAAAGCCACGGCUAACUACGUGCCAGCCGCCGCCGUAA
rnacentral:rRNA from 1 species